rnacentral:antisense_RNA from 1 species
UGUGGGAGCGAGCUUGCUCGCGAAAGCGGUGGGUCAGUCAGCAUUGAUUUAGCUGACACGACGCCUUCGCGAGCAAGCUCGCUCCCACA